rnacentral:rRNA from 1 species
AUACGUAGGUGCCAAGCGUUAUCCGGAUUUACUGGGCGUAAAGGGCGUGUAGGCGGUCUUGCAAGUCAGAAGUGAAAUUCCUGAGCUCAACUCGGGCGCUGCUUCUGAAACUGCAGGACUUGAGUGCUGGAGGGGAUAGCGGAAUUCCUAGUGGAGCGGUAAAAUGCGCAGAUAUUAGGAAGAACACCGGUGGCGAAGGCGGCUAUCUGGACAGUAACUGACGCUGAGGCGCGAAAGCGUGGGGAGCAAACAGGAUUAGAUACCCUGGUAGUCCGCGCAGUAAACGAUGCGCACCAGGUGUCGGGCGGCAGCGCCCGGUACCGGAGCAAACGCGAUGAGUGCGCCGCCUGGGGAGUAUGCCCGCAAGGGUGAAACUCAAAUGAAUUGGCGGGG